AAAAAAGUGGCUACUAGAAAAUUAAUGAUACAUAUGUAGCUUACAUAAUUCUAUUGAACAGUGCUGGUGUAGAGGAAGAUAAAGAGACAUUGACAUCUUUUUUCAGUGACUGUACAAUAUCUCUCUAUGAUUCACUUACACAUACACAGAGCCUACAUACAAGGACACAAAGUGGCACAAAGAGGGUGACCCCAGAUCAUACCCCAGGCAAUAUAGUGGAGGUGGAAAAUAACCUUUGCCCUGGAGAUACACUGCCUAGGUUCCAAUACCAACUGCAAUGAUUAUUUUUUGGAUGGCCUUAAGUAUACUAACUCUCUGUACCUCAUUUUCCUAUCUAUAGAAUGGUAAGAAAGAGGCUAUUUAAUUUUCCAUUGAGACAAUGUUCGAUAUCAUUAUUCUCCCCUCCAUUGAGAUUUAGCUCUGUGACCACCUUCCAUUGAACCCAAACGUUUCAUUUAUGAAACACAUAAUUGCUCCCAACUGAUGCAAUCCACAAGCAUCAAUUUAAUUCCAUUUCAUGGUCUGUUAUCAUAACUCAUAAAAUAUAAUCUCUUUCCCUACUGACUUCCUUUCCGUUAAGUCUUAGGGAAAAGAGAAGUCAGAUGAAAAUGAGAUGAGUUGCUGGCCAGGAAAAGUAGAGAUGAAGUUUCUGAUUCUCUUCUCCCAAACUCUUAAUUUAAAUGAUAUUUUGAGUUGGGAGAAUUCCAAGCGGAAGCCAAGACAAAGUAUGAAGGCAGUUUGUUUUCUAAAGUUUCAUUGAGACCCAAAAGUUCAUUUUUGGUAGUAGGAGUAUCUGGUUGAAGACUGAACACUAGGCUGAAUAGACCGAUCAUGGUCCAACUUGUGGUGGCAUUUCUUUCAUUGUCAGGCUGAUGGGCUCAGGGUAGAAAGGGUCUGGUUCCUUCAAAAGCCCACACUGCCUGCUUUGCUCUAUGCUACAGGAGAAAGAAUGCUCCUGAGUCUUGACACCAACCCUGUUCUUCCAAGGCUGCCAAUUUUCUUAGAAAAUCAAAGCUCUAUCCACCCCCCAACAACAACAACAACAAAUAAGGAAAGUAGUAGGAAUGAGAAAAAGUUAUAAUCUCAUCAGAAUCUUCCUGCAGAAGUUCUUGACCUGCAGCUUGUCUGGGAUGAAGAAGGUCAGCCAGAGACCUGGAGAAUGAGCUUGGAGAGAGGAAUUCUCUUGGGGUGGUUUCAGCAAGAAGAGAGUACACUCUAUAUAGUGAAUAUGUUCGGACAAAUCCAGAUCCACUCCCUGACACCAGAGACUAAGUAAUCCACCUUGGAGACUAAAGAGACUGUUAAGAAAAAUCCCAUCAUCACUGUUAGCAACUGUGCAGCAGUUAGAAGAAUCUGGAAGAGUCUGGAAGAGAUGAGCCUGGCACUAAAUAUAUGA
rnacentral:lncRNA from 1 species